AAUGACAUAAAUGAGAAAUUUACUGUCAUCGUGAUGCGUGAAAUUCGUAACAUUGUAAUAAGAUGGACAUUGUAGCAAAUGUCUCAAACCGAAAAGAAUGUACCAAACCCCGCUGGGUAUGAAUAUUAACUAUGAAUAUCCAUUCACAACCUACAGCUUAAAUCCAACACGUUUAACUCAAGACUCUGAGAAAGAAAAGCUUCACGAGUGAAGCUCUGUGAAGACCGGAUAAACAAGUCAAACUCAAAAAUUACGGGAUGCGAUACUUUAUGAACAUGCAUGAAAACGGAAAUUGCCACUUGAGUGGACAAAUAUCAGUGUAACACUGAAAAUUUUAAAAUUUAUUUUUCACAAUUUAUAAAAAACAUUUCUCUCUUAAUUUCAUAAAACAUCAAAUUUCAAAUUCCAAAAUGUAUCAUACAAAUCCCAAGAUCACAUAAUUAUAUCGAAUUCCUCUAUGUGUGUACAGAUCAAGCCGGCGCCUUCCCACGGUCAUCGCUAGUACCUGAAACAACAACACUAACACUGUAAGCACAAAGCUUAGUGAGUUCCCCAAAAUACCACACAUAAAACACAUAUUAGCCACUCGAGGCCAUAACUCUAUGGGUCCGUGCACCCAACUCUGUGAACCCUCAGGUUCUAACUCUAGGAAUCUUCCAGUUCCAACUCUAUAAGCAUGCACAACAUAAAUCACAUAGACAUCAUGUAGUACAACACAUAGCAUACACAUAACAUACACAUACUCUAUCACAUGACUCUGGUUACCUACUCAAGGUAAAGUAUAGUGAGAAGACUCACCUCGCGUGUCUCAGUAUCUCACGAUCUCUGGAAAUCCCCCGUACUCGAUCCUCCGAGCUCUACUCCUCCUAUAACAUCACAAGACUCUAAUUAACACUUUUAUCUCUAAGGUUGACUAUCCCUAAGAAGUCAACACAGGUCAACGGUCAACGGUCAACUUUGACCGGACUCGGCGAGUGCCCGCGGCAACUCGGCGAGUCUAGACGUUCUCACCAACUCUCUAGGAUUCCCUUUCUACACGUCGAGUACUCCCCCUGACUCGACGAGUUCCACCUGGAAGAAUCGCGGGACCACCCCGACUCAACUCGCCGAGUCUCAAGAACGACUCGGCGAGUCCCAGCUCGACUCAGACCACAUGACAAUCCUCUCUAACUCGCCCUGACUCACUGGGUCAACUCCUGACUCGUCUGGACCACUCUCUGGCCGGUCCAAGGCAAUCUUCAAGCUACUCGCCGAGUCUGCUCAUCGGACUCGGCGAGUCCAUUCCAUGCAAUCACUCAAACUUGCUUCUAAGGUCAGAUCUACUCCAACAAUUCAUAGAUCUGGCCCUCCUAGACUGAUUCAUCACGUAAAGUCCUAGCCUUGAUGCAUUAACAACCUCUAUAUGACCAAUUAUGAAGAAUCUUCAACAAAUCUCACUACACAAGGUCAUGACCUCCAUUGUUCUCUAUAAAGCUUGAAGAAUGAGACUCUCUGGACCUCUAUGGAUCCAGAUCCGAAGUCUCAUCACUAGCAUGGGACUAUUUGGCCAUCAAAUCAACUCAACAAGGCCACAAGAAACCCUAAAAUCGGUUAUACUUCACAAAACAGGAGAUGAGUCGAAAUUAUACCUUUAGAUUGAAGGGUCAAGCUUCCAAUCCACCAAAUAGCAGUCCCCUUUGCCUCCUCUUGGCUAGAGCCUCCUUCUUCUUUGCUAAACAACACACAAAUGUCAAGAAAUGCCUCCUUUCACUCUCAAAUCGCUAAAGCACUUUUAGGGUUUCUCUCUAUGGACUGAUGGAUGCAAAUGACGGCCAUAAGGCCAUUUAAAUAGGUCCCAAACCCGAGAAAUUAGGGUUUCAUUAAACAGCGUGGACUCGCCGAGUCCAUAUCCUGGACUCGCCGAGUCCGAACGAAUCCCGCGUCCAGAAUCGCGACCCUACUCGGCGAGUCUGAGCUCCAACUCGCCGAGUCCCUUCUCAAAACUCAAAAUAUUAAAACAAUAAAAUACCUGGAGAUCCGGGCUGUUACAAUUCUCCCCCACUAGGAUUAGACUUCGCCCUCGAAGUCUCGCUCUAAAAUAGCUCCGGAUGCUGAGCCCGCAUCUCGCGCUCCGGCUCCCAGGUCAUCUCUGAUCCCUUCCGGUGUUGCCACUGAACCAACACCAAAGGUACCUCCUUGUUCCUCAGAACCUUGAUCUUCCGAUCUCUGAUGGCUACUGGUCUCUCGGCAUAAUUCAGGCUCGCAUCCACCUGAAUAUCCUCUAAUGGAACUACUGCCGACUCAUCGGCAAUACAUUUCCUCAAUUGCGACACAUGAAAAGUGUCGUGGAUUUGCCCCAACUCUGCUGGCAAUUCCAAACGAUAGGCUACCCGGCCUACCCUCGCAAUCACACGAAAUGGCCCAAUAUACCGGGGCCCCAACUUGCCCCUCUUCCUGAAUCGAAUCACUCCUUUCCAAGGAGAGACCUUCAGGAGAACGAAGUCGCCGACCUGAAACUCAAGCUCGGACCGGCGUCUGUCUGCAUAACUCUUCUGUCGACUCUGGGCGGUCAACAACCUCUGUCUGACCUGCUGAAUCUGCUCUGUCGUCUGAAGCACGAUCUCGGUACUGCCCAUCACUCUCUGCCCGACCUCUCCCCAGCAAAUGGGGGUCCGACACCUCCUACCAUACAACAGCUCAAAGGGUGGCAUACCAAUGCUCGAAUGAUGGCUGUUGUUGUAGGAAAACUCUGCCAAGGGUAGAUACGCAUCCCAGCUACCCCCAAAAUCCAACACACAUGCUCGAAGCAUGUCCUCAAGCGUCUGAAUCGUCCGCUCACUCUGACCGUCUGUCUGGGGAUGAUAUGCGGUACUAAAAUGCAAUCUAGUACCCAACUCCUCAUGAAAUUUCUUCCAGAAUCUGGAAGUAAAGCGCACAUCACGGUCUGAAACAAUCGAGAUCGGCACCCCAUGCCGAGAUACCACUUCUCUCACAUAUAACUCUGCCAACUUCUCUGCUGAAGAACUCUCACUGAUGGCAAGGAAGUGAGCGCUCUUCGUCAACCUAUCCACAAUCACCCAAAUUGCAUCAACUCCCCUGGCAGUUCUCGGCAAUUUGGUGAUGAAAUCCAUAGUGAUCUGUUCCCAUUUCCAUUCGGGAACCUCCAAUGGCUGCAACUUGCCAUGUGGUCUCUGGUGCUCGGCCUUAACCCUACGACAGGUCAAGCACCUCUCAACGAACCAUGCGACGUCCCUCUUCAUACAGGGCCACCAAUACUCUCUCCUCAAAUCCAAAUACAUCUUCGUAGCCCCCGGAUGGAUCGAAAAUUUCGACCGAUGAGCCUCCUCCAUCAAGGAAGUGCGCGUACCACCCACGAACGGUACCCAAAUCCGACCCUGAAAAGUCAUAAGCCCUCGCCCAUCCGUAACGAAUUCUGAAACCAAACCAACGACCCGUUCCCUCUUCUGCAUCUCCGGCUGCACAGCCUCGGCCUGUGCCCCACGAAUGGCAUCCAAUACCGGAGCUAUCAUGGUCAAUCUCAAACAUACAUCUCGCAAUGGAGUGCUCUCCGCCCUGCGGCUCAACGCAUCGGCCACCACGUUGGCCUUGCCCGGGUGGUACAGGAUCUCACAAUCAUAAUCCUUGACCACAUCUAACCACCUCCUCUGACGCAUGUUUAGAUUGGGCUGAUCCAUCAAGUACUUCAAGCUCUUAUGGUCCGUGUAUAUCGUACAUCGAACCCCAUAUAAGUAGUGGCGCCAAAUCUUGAGGGCGAACACUACUGCCCCCAACUCUAGAUCAUGCGUGGGAUAUCUCGUCUCAUGAGGCUUCAGCUGCCUCGAUGCAUAUGCUAUCACAUGACCCCUCUGCAUCAACACCGCACCCAACCCCAAAAUCGAUGCAUCACAAUAUACUACAAAAUCCUCCAUCCCUUCCGGGAGAGCUAAUACCGGGGCUUCGCACAACCUCUGGCGAAGUGUCUCAAAGGAGGUCUGCUGCUCGGGACCCCAUGAGAAUGCAACACCCUUCCGGGUCAACCUGGUGAGCGGCACUGCGAUCUUGGAGAAAUCCUUGAUAAAUCUCCGAUAAUACCCUGCUAAUCCAAGGAAGCUCCUGAUCUCAGAGGGUGACUUUGGCACCUCCCAACCCAUCACCGCCUCAACCUUGGCCGGAUCGACCAGAAUCCCUUCCUGGUUAACGAGAUGUCCUAGGAACUGGACCUCCCGUAACCAGAAAUCACACUUGGAGAACUUUGCAUAAAGCUUCUCCGAUCUCAGUACCCCAAGGACCUCCCUCAAAUGUUCCUCAUGCUGCUCCCUAGAUCUCGAAUACACCAGAAUAUCAUCGAUAAAUACAAUCACCGACCGAUCCAACAUCGGCCUACAUACCCUGUUCAUGAGAUCCAUGAACACCGCCGGGGCAUUGGUGAGCCCAAAAGGCAUCACCACAAACUCAUAAUGCCCAUAACGCGUCCUGAAAGCUGUCUUCUGGACGUCCCCGUCUCGCACCCUCACCUGAUGAUAUCCCGACCUCAAAUCGAUCUUGGAAAACCAAGAUGCUCCCUGCAACUGAUCAAAUAAAUCGUCGAUCCUCGGCAACGGGUAACGGUUCUUGACCGUCAGCUUGUUCAACUCCCGGUAAUCAAUACACAUCCGGUGUGAACCAUCCUUCUUCUUGACAAACAGAAUAGGUGCUCCCCACGGCGAGCUGCUCGGCCGAAUAAAUCCCUUCCCCAGCAACUCCUGAAGCUGCGAGGAUAACUCUUGCAUCUCUGGAGGUGCAAGACGAUAAGGCACCUUAGCUAUAGGCGCAGCCCCCGGAACCAAAUCAAUACCAAACUCUACUUGCCUCACAGGAGGUACUCCCGGCAGCUCCUCGGGAAAGACAUCUGGAAACUCACAUACCACCGGUACCUCCCCAACUGAACUCGGUCUCUCGGAAGUCGCUCGCGUAUCCAUCACAUACGCCACAAAACCCUUACAGCCCUGCUGUAGACACUGCCUCGCCCUGGCGGCCGAACAAAAGGCUGAUCCCGAACGUGUACCCUCACCGUACACCGAAAGAACUCCCCCACUAGGGUCUCGUAUAGUCACCAGCUGACGCUCACAGUCGAUAAUCGCGCCGAAUCGGCUCAACCAGUCCAUGCCCACAAUGACACAAACAUCGCCCAUCGCAAUAGGAAUCAGAUCAAUCGGAAACUCAAUCCCGAAGAUCUCUAACACACAUCCCCGGAAAACCUCUGUGGCACAAAUCACUCUAUCAUCAGCUAUGGAGACUCUCAGAGGCCGACUCAGUGCCUCACGACUAGCACUGAUAUGCUGGCUAAAGGCCAAAGAUACAAAAGACCGACUCGCACCCGAGUCAAAUAACACUAAAGCAGGUACGGAAUUCACAAGAAAAGUACCUACACAUAACAUAAUAUAAGCAUAACAUCAUAUGUCAAAAUAAAUACACGAAAGGAAACAUACCAGCCACAACAUCGGGCGCAGCGCGGACCUCCUCCGCAGUCAGCUGGAAGGCUCUCCCUCGAGCUCUCGGCGUCUCGGCCUUCACAGGCCGACUCUCUGUAACUCUGGUGGCGGCAGGAGCAGACCCCUGAGAUGCUCCGCGCAACUGCGGACACUCGGCCUUCCGGUGUCCGGUCUGGUUGCAGUGAAAGCACACUGCAAACCCCUUGGGGCAGUCCUUGGCCAUGUGCCCCUCCUUGCCACAUUUGUAGCAAGACCCUGCUCGGCAGACUCCGUCAUGACCCUUGCCGCACUUUCCGCAAGUGCGGCCCUUCUGGCUCCCUGGUCUGGGAUCAGCAGGCUUGGCCCGCUUGGCGGCCGGCUGCGACAACGCCGGUCGCCGAUCCCUCCCCUGAGACUCUGCCUCCUCCCUGGCCUGGGUCUCAAGCUCAAUCUCCCUCUUCCGGGCAUUUGCCUGAAGCUCGGCAAAUGUCCGGUACGAGGAGUUCGCAGCGAACUCCCGAAUAUCCCUCCUCAAGAUGCUCAAGUAGCGGCUCAUACGUGCCUGCUCAGUGGACACGUGCUCAGGGCAGAACAUCGCCCUCUCGUGGAACAUCCUCGUGAUCGCUGUAACAGACUCAGUACCCUGCUUGAGGGUCAGAAACUCCUGUGCUAAACGCUCCCUCUCCACCUGGGGAACGUACUCAUCCCGAAACAUAGUGGUGAACCUCUCCCAGGUCACCGCAGAAAGCUCAGCAGGCGAAUAAUGCGCUGUCACAAACUUCCACCAGUCCUUCGCUCCCAAGCGAAGCUGGUUCAGCGCGAACCGUACCUUCAAAUGCUCAGGAGACGAGCAAGUGAAGAAACACCCCUCAAUAUCAGAUAUCCACCUCAUAGCUGCCACCGGAUCCUGAGUACCAUCAAACUCUGGUGGUUUUGUGUUGCUGAACUCACGGAACAGCAACGCAUCCCCACCCUGCGGCCUCGCAGCAGCAAUCGCUGCGGUAGCCGCUGCAGCAGCAGCCUCAGAAAGAGCGGCAUAACGCUCAUCAAACGUCUCAAUCAAGGUGGUCUUUAUAGACCCAAACAUCUCCGGUAUCUCUGCCCUGAUGGCCGCAGCCACCUCCUCCUGAAUGAUCCGGCGGAUCUCCUCCUCACUGGUACCACUGCUCUCGGGCAUCAAACGUGUCCUCACCAUGAUCUACCUCUGAAAUACAACAUACGAUAAAUUAGAAUCCACACGAGUAUGCUCACACUCGACAACUCUUUUCUCCUUGAUUCUUGGCAUUCCAAAGAUUCUGACUUAGGCUGCACACUGCUCCGGUGCUUCCAGUAGUACGGGCCCAAUACUACUGUCCGCACCGCACCAGAAUACACUCCAAGUCCUUCUCUUUGGAUCCCAGGUCUCAAGUACUUUAUCAUGCAUAGACUACUCUCUAAUAGAUUUCUCAUAAGUCCCUUGCUGCUACCUACUCACUCUCAAGCAUCUCAUAGCAGCUCACCUCUCUCUAGGCUAAGGCAUCACACAUCAGGCCACUCUAGUCCUAAUAGCAAUACCUAGCCUACUCUAGCAUGCGGAUACAUCAUAUCAAUAUCAAUAUCACAUAAUAUAUAAAGGUAUUUUGGGAAAUCACCGUUCGGGCGCUGACUGAUCGUACACACAUCUCUUGCUCUGCGUUUUUCGAAAAUCUUUUACUCUUUUUGAAAAUACAUCUCAAAUCCUCAGUUUGAGUUCAAAUACGCCCGAAGGUGUACUCGAAUCCCUCAAACCAAGGCUCUGAUACCAACUUGUAACACUGAAAAUUUUAAAAUUUAUUUUUCACAAUUUAUAAAAGCAUUUCUCUCUUAAUUUCAUAAAACAUCAAAUUUCAAAUUCCAAUAUGUAUCAUACAAAUCCCAAGAUCACAUAAUUAUAUCGAAUUCCUCUACGUGUGUACAGAUCAAGCCGGCGCCUUCCCACGGUCAUCGCUAGUACCUGAAACAACAACACUAACACUGUAAGCACAAAGCUUAGUGAGUUCCCCAAAAUACCACACAUAAAACACAUAUUAGCCACUCGAGGCCAUAACUCUAUGGGUCCGUGCACCCAACUCUGUGAACCCUCAGGUUCUAACUCUAGGAACCUUCCGGUUCCAACUCUAUAAGCAUGCACAACAUAAAUCACAUAGACAUCAUGUAGUACAACACAUAGCAUACACAUAACAUACACAUACUCUAUCACAUGACUCUGGUUACCUACUCAAGGUAAAGUAUAGUGAGAAGACUCACCUCGCGUGUCUCAGUAUCUCACGAUCCCUGGAAAUCCCUCGUACUCGAUCCUCCGAGCUCUAAUCCUCCUAUAACAUCACAAGACUCUAAUUAACACUUUUAUCUCUAAGGUUGACUAUCCCUAAGAAGUCAACACAGGUCAACGGUCAACGGUCAACGGUCAACUUUGACCGGACUCGGCGAGUGCACGCGGCAACUCGGCGAGUCUAGACGUUCUCACCAACUCUCUAGGAUUCCCUUUCUACACGUCGAGUACUCCCCCUGACUCGACGAGUUCCACCUGGAAGAAUCGCGGGACCACCCCGACUCAACUCGCCGAGUCUCAAGAACGACUCGGCGAGUCCCAGCUCGACUCAGACCACAUGACAAUCCUCUCUAACUCGCCCUGACUCACUGGGUCAACUCCUGACUCGUCUGGACCACUCUCUGGCCGGUCCAAGGCAAUCUUCAAGCUACUCGCCGAGUCUGCUCAUCGGACUCGGCGAGUCCAUUCCAUGCAAUCACUCAAACUUGCUUCUAAGGUCAGAUCUACUCCAACAAUUCAUAGAUCUGGCCCUCCUAGACUGAUUCAUCACGUAAAGUCCUAGCCUUGAUGCAUUAACAACCUCUAUAUGCCUAAUUAUGAAGAAUCUUCAACAAAUCUCACUACACAAGGUCAUGACCUCCAUUGUUCUCUAUAAAGCUUGAGGAAUGAGACUUUCUGGACCUCUAUGGAUCCAGAUCCGAAGUCUCAUCACUAGCAUGGGACUAUUUGGCCAUCAAAUCAACUCAACAAGGCCACAAGAAACCCUAAAAUCGGUUAUACUUCACAAAACAGGAGAUGAGUCGAAAUUAUACCUUUAGAUUGAAGGGUCAAGCUUCCAAUCCACCAAAUAGCAGCCCCCUUUGCCUCCUCUUGGCUAGAGCCUCCUUCUUCUUUGCUAAACAACACACAAAUGUCAAGAAAUGCCUCCUUUCACUCUCAAAUCGCUAAAGCACUUUUAGGGUUUCUCUCUAUGGACUGAUGGAUGCAAAUGACGGCCAUAAGGCCAUUUAAAUAGGUCCCAAACCCGAGAAAUUAGGGUUUCAUUAAACAGCGUGGACUCGCCGAGUCCAUAUUCUGGACUCGCCGAGUCCGAACGAAUCCCGCGUCCAGAAUCGCGACCCUACUCGGCGAGUCUGAGCUCCAACUCGCCGAGUCCCUUCUCAAAACUCAAAAUAUUAAAACAAUAAAAUACCUGG
rnacentral:lncRNA from 1 species